AGAUUGAACGCUGGCGGCAUGCCUAACACAUGCAAGUCGAACGGGAGUAGCAAUACUCUAGUGGCGGACGGGUGAGGAAUACGUAGGAAUUUGCCCUUAAGUGGGGGAUAACCCGGGGAAACCCGGAUUAAUACCGCAUGACCUCGAAAGAGCAGAGUGGGGAUCGCAAGACCUCGACGCUUUUUGGAGAAGCCUACGUCGGAUUAGCUAGUUGGUGAGGUAAUGGCUCGACCAAGGCGACGAUCCGUAACUGGUCUGAGAGGAUGAUCAGUCACGCCGGAACUGAGACGACGGUCCGGACCUCCGACGGGAGGCAGCAGGUGGGGAAUAGUUGGACGAAGUGGGACGACAAGCCUUAGACUCCAGACAAGUUCGCCGACGUCGU
rnacentral:rRNA from 1 species